UCAAGGGAGGCAAGGGUAGCCAGGGCUCAGGAGGAUCUGUCUGUGCUCUGCCUCCACACUCAGUACUGUUAGAAGUCGUGCUGCUUUAGCUUGCUGUGCCCGUAGUGGCUGAGGGACCAGGAUCCAGUCCAGCACCAGGUGGACUACUUGGGCCUCAGAUACCAGUCCUCAAAGAGCAACAGCAACCAGCAAGAUCAUUCAAGAAAGGAUAGUUACAGGGUUAGUGUGCAGAAGUAGUCCAGGCACCAACACCAGCUGAAAUUCAUCCCCAUAGUGGCCAAGAACAUGCAAGAACAAAGCCUA